rnacentral:rRNA from 1 species
GACGAACGCUGGCGGCGUGCUUAACACAUGCAAGUCGAACGGAAAGGCCCUGCUUUUGUUGGGUGCUCGAGUGGCGAACGGGUGAGUAACACGUGAGUAACCUGCCCUUGACUUUGGGAUAACUUCAGGAAACUGGGGCUAAUACCGGAUAGGAUCUCCUGCUGCAUGGUGGGGGUUGGAAAGUUUCGGCGGUUGGGGAUGGACUCGCGGCUUAUCAGCUUGUUGGUGGGGUAGUGGCUUACCAAGGCUUUGACGGGUAGCCGGCCUGAGAGGGUGACCGGGCACAUUGGGACUGAGAUACGGCCCAGAAUCCUACGGGAGGCAGCAGUGGGGAAUAUUGCACAAUGGGCGGAAGCCUGAUGCAGCAACGCCGCGUGCGGGAUGACGGCCUUCGGGUUGUAAACCGCUUUCGAAUGUGACGAAGCGUGAGUGACGGUAAUGGGUAAAGAAGCACCGGCUAACUACGUG